rnacentral:tRNA from 1 species
UGCGGGGUGGAGCAGCUCGGUAGCUCGUCGGGCUCAUAACCCGAAGGUCAUCGGUUCAAAUCCGGUCCCCGCUA